AGAGUUUGAUCAUGGCUCAGGAUGAACGCUGGCGGCGUGCUUAACACAUGCAAGUCGAACGAAGCACUUUAUCACGAUUUCUUCGGAAUGGCGAUUUGGUGACUGAGUGGCGGACGGGUGAGUAACGCGUGGGUAACCUGCCUUAUACAGGGGGAUAACAGUUGGAAACGGCUGCUAAUACCGCAUAAGCGCACAGGGUCGCAUGACCUGGUGUGAAAAACUCCGGUGGUAUGAGAUGGACCCGCGUUGGAUUAGCUGGUUGGUGAGGUAACGGCCCACCAAGGCGACGAUCCAUAGCCGACCUGAGAGGGUGGCCGGCCACAUUGGGACUGAGACACGGCCCAAACUCUUACGGGAGGCAGCAGUGGGGAAUAUUGCACAAUGGGCGAAAGCCUGAUGCAGCGACGCCGCGUGAGCGAGGAAGUAUUUCGGUAUGUAAAGCUCUAUCAGCAGGGAAGAUAAUGACGGUACCUGACUAAGAAGCACCGGCUAAAUACGUGCCAGCAGCCGCGGUAAUACGUAUGGUGCAAGCGUUAUCCGGAUUUACUGGGUGUAAAGGGAGCGCAGGCGGUACGGCAAGUCUGAUGUGAAAGCCCGGGGCUCAACCCCGGUACUGCAUUGGAAACUGUCGAACUAGAGUGUCGGAGGGGUAAGUGGAAUUCCUAGUGUAGCGGUGAAAUGCGUAGAUAUUAGGAGGAACACCAGUGGCGAAGGCGGCUUACUGGACGAUAACUGACGCUGAGGCUCGAAAGCGUGGGGAGCAAACAGGAUUAGAUACCCUGGUAGUCCACGCCGUAAACGAUGAAUAUCUAGGUGUCGGGGAGCAAAGCUCUUCGGUGCCGUCGCACACGCAGUAAGUAUUCCA
rnacentral:rRNA from 1 species